UAAAUAUAGCUACGGCAGAAAGUGAAUGCCUCGACUCAUGUAUCCGAUGAAGGACGUACUAGACUGCGAUAAGCUUGGAGAAGCUGUCAAGACGCGUUAUACUCCAAGAUUUCCGAAUGGGGGAACCUUUACCGGUAAAGCCGGUAAGCUCUAAUAAGAGCGGACACUCCGUGAACUGAAAUAUCUAAGUAGCGGUGGAAAAGAAAUCAUAUGAGAUUCCCAGAGUAGUGACGAACGAAAUGGGAUCAGCCCAAACCCGUCCCGUGUAAGGAUGAGACCGUUGCGGUCGGGGGUUGUGGGAGCGUACUAUCCAUGUCUCAUACAUGGACACGAUCGCUUCGUAUAUAGAAGAAAUGUCUGGGAAGGCAUACCGAAGAGGGUUAAAGUCCCGUAUUCGAAAUAUACGAUUCAUCCGUGCGUGCGUUUCCCGAGUAGGGUCGGACACGUGUAAUCCGGCUUGAAGCUGGGUGGACCACCAUCCAAGGCUAAAGAGUACAUGAGAUCGAUAGCGAACAAGUACCGUGAGGGAAAGGUGAAAAGAACCCCGGGAGGGGAGUGAAAUAGACCCUGAAACUUUCUGCCAAUAAAGAGUCGGAGCCUUCGGGUGACGGCGUACUUUUUGUAGAACGGACCAACGAGUUAGCUGUCAGUGGCAAGGUUAAGGAAGAGAAUAUCCGGAGCCGUAGGGAAACCGAGUCUGAAUAGGGCGAACAGUCACUGGCACUAGACCCGAAACUGGGUGAGCUACCCAUGGCCAGGCUGAAGGAGCGGUAACACGUUCUGGAGGGCCGAACCAUUUGGAGCUGCAAGUCCAUUGGAUGAGCUGUGGGUAGGAGUGAAAAGCUUAUCGAACUCAGAGAUAGCUGGUUCUCCGCGAAAUAUAUUUAGGUAUAGCCUCACGUGGUAGUAUAGAGGGGUAGGGCUCUGAUAAGGCUAGCGGGUCGCGAGACUUAGUAAACCUUGAUAAACUUCGAAUACUCUAUAUGAAAUCGUGGGAGUCAGACAGUGGCAGAUAAGUGCCAUUGUCAAAAGGGAAACAGCCCAGAUUCCUGUCUAAGGUCCCUAAAUCAUGACUCAGUGGUAAAGGAUGUGGGAUUACUGUGACAACCAGGAGGUUGGCUUAGAAGCAGCCAUUCCUUAAAAGAGUGCGUAAUAGCUCACUGGUCUAGUGAUCCUGCGCCGAAAAUUCAACGGGGCUAAGUCAUGUACCGAAGACGGAAGCGUUUAUAACGCGGUAGCGGAGCGUUCCCCAUGCCGAUGAAGUCGGACUGUAAGGUCCGGUGGAGGUACGGGAAGUGAAAAUGUUGGUAUGAGUAGCGAAUAACAAGAUGAAAACUCUUGUCACCGAAUGUCCAAGGUUUCCUAUCCAACGUCAGUCGUGGUAGGGUGAGCCGGUCCUAAGGCGUAGCCGAAAGGUGAAGCUGAUGGAGAGCAGGUCAAAAUUCCUGCGCUACAAAGUGUCGUUAUGACCUAGGUGGGGACGCAUCGGGAUAGUGGAGGUGCCGAAUGGAUGGCACUACGGGUUUCGAAACUUGUCUGGUAGGCAAAUCCGCCAGACGUUUUGGAGAGAAAUUCGUCUAGGAAGGAGCGAGCUUCGGCUCGAGCCGACCGAAGUCCUACACUAUUCUGGUGUCGAGAAAAGCCACUCGGCAGAUACAAUGUAACCGUACCGAAAUCGAACACUCGUGGACUGCUGUAAGAACAGUAAGGUGAACGGGAUAACUAUGCUUAAGGAACUCUGCAAAACAGCGGUCGUAACCUCGGGAUAAGACCUCCCGGCACGCUACUUUAGCGUGUCGGGCGCAGCUAACGAGCUCAGGCGACUGUUUACCAAAAACACAGCUCUCUGCAAACUCGCAAGAGGAAGUAUAGAGGGUGAUGCCUGCCCAGUGCCAGAAGAUCACGAGGAGGGGUGCAAGCUCUGAAUCCAAGUCCUGGUGAACGGCGGCCGUAACUAUAACGGUCCUAAGGUAGCGAAAUUCCUUGUCGGG
rnacentral:rRNA from 1 species